rnacentral:rRNA from 1 species
ACUCCUACGGGAGGCAGCAGUGGGGAAUAUUGCACAAUGGGCGCAAGCCUGAUGCAGCCAUGCCGCGUGUAUGAAGAAGGCCUUCGGGUUGUAAAGUACUUUCAGCAGUGAGGAAGGCAGGUACGUUAAUAGCGUACUUGUUUGACGUUAGCUGCAGAAGAAGCACCGGCUAACUCCGUGCCAGCAGCCGCGGUAAUACGGAGGGUGCGAGCGUUAAUCGGAAUUACUGGGCGUAAAGCGCAUGCAGGUGGUUUGUUAAGUCAGAUGUGAAAGCCCGGGGCUCAACCUCGGAAUUGCAUUUGAAACUGGCAGACUAGAGUACUGUAGAGGGGGGUAGAAUUUCAGGUGUAGCGGUGAAAUGCGUAGAGAUCUGAAGGAAUACCGGUGGCGAAGGCGGCCCCCUGGACAGAUACUGACACUCAGAUGCGAAAGCGUGGGGAGCAAACAGGAUUAGAUA